GACUCGUGACUGAAUUAGCGCUGAAUGGCAGCCGCGAUGCUGGGUAUUACGCAAGCGCGUGCACGAAGCGCGAGACAGUGCGCGAUAAGGCGAAAUUAAUAACAGUCGCGCAGUGCUGCAGUUGAGAGUUGUUCUUAUCGAAUCUGCAAACAAUUGGCUCUGAGAACUGGCGACUCCUUUGCACGGGACACACCUACUGCGCACACAACUAAUAACAGAGCUGCGCAGUUUGAAACAGCGUUGCGGAUGAAAGUGGACAAUAAAAGUAGAUGAAGGGUCUGCUAUUUUUUAGGUUCGUCAAACUGGAUGCGGCGUAGAAAUCAAAACUGUGACUCAUAUUCCUGAAGAACAUUCGAUACCCUGACCUGCCACCAUCUUCAUCAUCAUCAUCCGUUUCUUCGUUUCUUCAUCAACGAUGGCACAACAGCAGCAGUUUCAGCGUAGCCACACAGCAACCACCAGAUGCCACAGGAACAGCAAAAUCAAUUACAGCCGUUGUUGAGCAGCAAUAAUAGUCACAAUCUACAGGAACCACCUAGUAUUAAUUCUAGCCUAAUUAGUGAGUUGAAUCACCUAUUUAGCGAAGAGAGGUUGAUAUAUUUUCAACAGCCUCGCCCUGGCCAUAUGGAAUUUAGAGUCUACCUACUAACUCAACAAAUCCUCAUUGGGAAAAUAUCAGUCAACGUUUGAUGAAAGCUGAUUACCAUGAAGCAAAAGUAAUAAUAACACGUUCAAAGUGUCCGAGUACUGUUGGAAUCAAGGAAUUUAUCAUACAAGAUAUUAUUUUCUCCAAAGGUUCUAUGAUCUGGAUUUAAAUAUGACACUGCAAGAAUUGUCAAAAAACAAGACUAUAAUAGAGGUUACAAUAAUUUACGUAGCUGUUAAAGAUCAUUGAGAUACAUAGGAACAAUGGAGAUAUUUAUAUAUACCAGAUUAUAACGAAUAAGAAAAAAUGUAAUAAUGACGACUGCAAAGAGCUUUUAAUAUUUAUUUAUG